AACUAUGCCUGAGCGGGGU
rnacentral:siRNA from 1 species